AAGAUUCACAUAGAAAAAUGUUAGGCACUCAUGGUACAUUACUUUCACAAAUUACCACAAACGGAUUUCGUUACACAUGUUACAUUCCCUAUACAAAACAAUGACCAAUACGGUGUAAACAAAAAAUAAAAGCACGCAAAUUGUUCAAUACUAUGCAGAAAACACGCAACAGUGUCCUUUACUGUUCGGACAAAUAACACAAAAAUAAACACAAAUGAAUAAUAAUGUAGCACAACAUUUCUAUGAAUCUAUAAUAGUCCUCCCAAUAUCUGCCAAAAUCUGCAUAGAAUAACAAUAUCCUUUCGAACGUUUCAUAUUGUAUAAUUCCUUCUGGUAUUGAAUUCUUUCAUCUCUAAAACAGAGUCCUUGUAUAAACAUUGGUCAACAAGAAUGCACCAACUUUGCACCAAGAAUUUGAUCUAAUAAAUUUUACUCGUUUACCCGACCUAAAUUGCCAACAAAUAUGCACCAAAAAUGCACCAACC
rnacentral:lncRNA from 1 species